GACGAACGCUGGCGGCGUGCUUAACACAUGCAAGUCGAACGGUGAAGGGAUCAGCUUGCUGGUUCUGGAUGAGUGGCGAACGGGUGAGUAACACGUGAGUAACCUGCCCCCUUCUUCUGGAUAACCACAUGAAAGUGUGGCUAAUACGGGAUAUUCUGGUUCUGCCGCGUGAUGGGUCUGGGAAAGCGAUUGUUUCGGUGGGGGAUGGGGUCGCGGCGUAUCAGCUUGUUGGUGGGGUGAUGGCCUACCAAGGCGGUGACGGGUAGCCGGCCGGUGAGGGUCGGCGCUGAGAGGGGGACUGAGCACAGGGCGAGACUGAUACGGCAGGCAGCAGUGGGGAAUAUAGCAGUAGGGGAGAUAGCAUGAUGCAGCGACGCCGGGUGAGGGAUCGAGGCCUUCGGGAUGUAGGCCUCUUUGGUGAGUGACGCAGGCGUGCGCGUUGUGGGUGGGUUGACGGUAGCUGGAUAAGAAGCGCCGGCUAACUACGUG
rnacentral:rRNA from 1 species